UACGUAGGGGCUAGCGUUAUCCGGAAUUACUGGGCGUAAAGGGUGCGUAGGUGGUUUCUUAAGUCAGAGGUGUAAGGCUACGGCUCAACCGUAGUAAGCCUUUGAAACUGGGAAACUUGAGUGCAGGAGAGGAGAGUGGAAUUCCUAGUGUAGCGGUGAAAUGCGUAGAUAUUAGGAGGAACACCAGUUGCGAAGGCGGCUCUCUGGACUGUAACUGACGCUGAGGCACGAAAGCGUGGGGAGCAAACAGGAUUAGAUACCCCGGUAGUCCCUGAGCGGGCU
rnacentral:rRNA from 1 species